CCCCAAGAUAGAUGUCUGACGGAGCACGCCGCGUGAGUGAUGAAGGCUUUCGGGUCGUAAAACUCUGUUGUUAGGGAAGAACAAGUACGAGAGUAACUGCUCGUACCUUGACGGUACCUAACCAGAAAGCCACGGCUAACUACGUGCCAGCAGCCGCGGUAAUACGUAGGUGGCAAGCGUUAUCCGGAAUUAUUGGGCGUAAAGCGCGCGCAGGCGGUUUCUUAAGUCUGAUGUGAAAGCCCACGGCUCAACCGUGGAGGGUCAUUGGAAACUGGGGAACUUGAGUGCAGAAGAGAAAAGCGGAAUUCCACGUGUAGCGGUGAAAUGCGUAGAGAUGUGGAGGAACACCAGUGGCGAAGGCGGCUUUUUGGUCUGUAACUGACGCUGAGGCGCGAAAGCGUGGGGAGCAAACAGGAUUAGAUACCCUGGUAGUCCACGCCGUAAACGAUGAGUGCUAAGUGUUAGAGGGUUUCCGCCCUUUAGUGCUGCAGCUAACGCAUUAAGCACUCC
rnacentral:rRNA from 2 species